rnacentral:misc_RNA from 1 species
UACGGAGGGUGCAAGCGUUGUCCGGAAUCACUGGGUGUAAAGGGUGUGUAGGCGGGUCGGUAAGUCAGGGGUGAAAGCCCACAGCUCAACUGUGGAACUGCCUUUGAUACUGCCGAUCUUGAGUUUCGGAGGGGUCACUGGAAUUCGUGGUGUAGCGGUGAAAUGCGUAGAUAUCACGAGGAACACCAGAGGUGUAGACGGGUGACUGGACGAAAACUGACGCUGAGGCACGAAAGCGUGGGGAGCAAACAGG